GAUGAACGCUGGCGGCGUGCCUAAUACAUGCAAGUCGAGCGAACGGACGAGAAGCUUGCUUCUCUGAUGUUAGCGGCGGACGGGUGAGUAACACGUGGAUAACCUACCUAUAAGACUGGGAUAACUUCGGGAAACCGUAGCUAAUACCGGAUAAUAUUUUGAACCGCAUGGUUCAAAAGUUAAAGACGGUCUUGCUGUCACUUAUAGAUGGAUCCGCGCUGCAUUAGCUAGUUGGUAAGGUAACGGCUUACCAAGGCAACGAUGCAUAGCCGACCUGAGAGGGUGAUCGGCCACACUGGAACUGAGACACGGUCCAGACUCCUACGGGAGGCAGCAGUAGGGAAUCUUGCGCAAUGGGCGAAAGCCUGACGGAGCAACGCCGCGUGAGUGAUGAAGGUCUUCGGAUCGUAAAACUCUGUUAUUAGGGAAGAACAUAUGUGUAAGUAACUGUGCACAUCUUGACGGUACCUAAUCAGAAAGCCACGGCUAACUACGUG
rnacentral:rRNA from 1 species